AUCAAGUCAGGGUACCUCCAACCGAGCUGGGGUACCUCUGAUCGAGCUCAGGGUGCCUCACACUGAGUCAGGAAGGCCUCAAAUCUACCCUGUGGUGCCUCAAACGCAGCCAGGGUAUCUUGAAUGAAGUCGGGGUACCUCCAAUCAUGCUGGGGUACCGCCGCUCGAGCUCAGGGUGCCUCACACUGAGUCAGGAGGGCCUCCAAUCUAGCCGGGGUGUUUUGAAUUGAGCUGGGGUACCUCCAGUUGAGCCAGGGGGUGCCUUGCACUGAGCCAGGAGUGCCUCAAAUCCAUCACGUGGCGCCUCCCAUCUAGCCAGGGGUGUUUUGAAUCUAGCCAGCAUGCCUCCAAUCCAGCUGGGGCGCCUCAAAUCCUAAAGGGCUGAGAAUCACUGCGCGAAGCCGUCAUUGUGGAUACUGGCAUUCCCUCCAUCCCCUCUAUUUACAGUCAGCAAACAUGACUCCAUGCUGAAACAGCGAAACAAUUUCCAGCCUUAUCAGAAGGAAGUGUGUGUGCGUGUGUGUGUGUUGUGGGGAACAACUAGUGAAAACACUGUGUUUCCUGCAGCGGCCCCGUUCCCAAGCUGGGAGAGCAGAGCCGACAGUCCUUACUGCACCGCCCAUGGAGUUAAUCUGAGACGCCGAGUGGUUUAUCGGAUUCUUGGACACAUCAUUAAGCAGCACGACGCAGCUCGCGCUCCUGCGAAGCUCAGGUUCACCAAUACACACACACGUAAGCUCCUUAAAUACAUUUUUUUUUUUAAUUUGGACGUUGAUAGCUCUGCAAAAUACUUCUCCCAGCCCCAGUCUUUUCCACAUUUCAUCUAUAAAUAAGUCAUCAGUCAACUUAGCUUUAAAAAAAAAAAACUCUUCUGAGUCUCAAAGAUCCAGUCUUUUGCUCUCCCUGAAGCCUCAUCUUGUUAGUUCUUUCACCACAAUACAAUGUACUCCAUAGCAUUUCCUUUUAGCUUAUCAAACAGUUUAAAAGAGGAAAAAAAAA